UGGGGAAUAUUGCACAAUGGAGGGAACUCUGAUGCAGCGACGCCGCGUGAACGAAGAAGGCUUUCGAGUCGUAAAGUUCUUUUAUAUGGGAAGAUAAUGACGGUACCAUAAGAAAAAGCCCCGGCUAACUACGUGCCAGCAGCCGCGGUAAUACGUAGGGGGCUAGCGUUGUCCGGAAUCACUGGGCGUAAAGGGUUCGCAGGCGGAAAUGCAAGUCAGGUGUAAAAGGCAGUAGCUUAACUACUGUAAGCAUUUGAAACUGCAUAUCUUGAGAAGAGUAGAGGUAAGUGGAAUUUUUAGUGUAGCGGUGAAAUGCGUAGAUAUUAAAAAGAAUACCGGUGGCGAAGGCGACUUACUGGGCUCAUUCUGACGCUGAGGAAAGAAAGCGUGGGUAGCAAACAGG
rnacentral:rRNA from 2 species